UUCAGUAAGAAUUUAAUUUUGGUUCUGAUUGAACGUUUUUCAGUAGUUUUAAGACAUGCAAAUCGUUGUUACUGAAAAGUUUUAUAAUUUAUAUUAGAAUAACAAAUAAUAAUAUAUAAUAUUAUCUUUUUAAAACUAAAAAUAAAAAAUAAAAUAAAUAAGGACAAGGUGUAUAGGUGAGUAUUGUAAAUUAGAUACCUUAUAGACUCCUUAAUUCGGAGAUAAUUUUAUUUCUCUAAUUGAUUAUCUUAUUUUAUAUCAUUAUAAAGAGUAAUUGAUUAAGAGAUACUUUUGAUUAAUAAAAACAAAAAUAAGGUUAUUAAUCUGAACAUUAAAAUUCAGAUUAAAUUAGCUAACCUUCCUCAAAGUUUAACAGUAAACACCACAUAGCCUUUAGGUUUAUAGAUUAAAUAGAGUUAUAUUCUUCAAUAAGGAAAAGUGAAAGAUAAAUUAGCUAUUUAUUCCAAAAGGAAAUUUUCUGCUAUAAGAUUCGAUUUAUUUUGUUUAAUGGUAGUUGGUAGAGUAAAAGCCUACCAAGCCUACGAUCAAAAGCCAUGUUUGAUAGAGCAGAUGGCCACAUUGGGAAUGAAAUGCCCCAAGUAGUAUUAACUACCAGCAGUCAAGAAUAUUAGUCAAUGCUCGCAAGAGUGAACUAGCUAACUGAAAUCACAUGACUCAUUAAUUGAUGGUGAUUGUGAUAACAUAAGGGAAAAAAAUGAUGUUACCUUAUUAUUAGUGUUGUCCAAAACUGGUGCCAGAAGACUCGGUAAGACCAGAGACGCAAACGUUAGUCAUCUUAAUCAGGCGUAAAGGGUGUGUAGGCUGCUUUAAAAGUUUAAUUCUUUGUAAUAGCUCUGUAAUCGUAUAUAUUUUUAUAUAUGGGACAAUAUAUAAAAAGAGACGUGUUACAGUAAAGAAAUAAAUGAAUAAAAGCUAGGAUCAAAUUGAGGAUAAGCCGAAUAAUACUUAGAGUAGGGGUUAAAUCCGCAGAUACUAAGGGGAAUACUAACGGUGAAAGCUUUUAUCUACUAUUGAUUGACGCUGAGAAACGAAGGUGAGAACAGGAAAUAGGAUUAGAUACCCAGAUACCUCUCACUGUCAACGAUGAAUGGUGGUUUGUUAGUUUUUGUCAAGAACUAGUAACGAUGUUAACACGAUAACCAUUCCGCCUUGCGAGUACGGUUGCAAAACUGAAACCAAAAAAAUUAGUCGGUCUCGAAGCAAACGAAGUGAAGCAUGUUAUUUAAUACGAGAAUACGCGUAAAACCUUACCAGUUCUUGCAUAUCCAAUGAUGUUCUUAGUUAAUUCUAAGUUCUUUUUAAUAAGAAAAACUAAUUGAGUAAUUUUUAUAAUAUUUAAAAAUUCGUUUACAGGUGUUGCAUGGCUGUCGUCAGUCCGUGCCGUGAGAAGUGAGGUUAACUCCACUAACGGACGAAAUCCCUGUUGUUAAUUUAUACUUAACAAUUAAUGAUUUUUAAAUAUUUUCAUUUGGGGCUAAGACAAGCCGUUAUGGUCCUCAUGAACUGGGCUAUAGACGUGCCACGAAAACUUUUACAAAGUGAAGCAAAACUAGACCUAUAAGCUAAUUGCUAGAUAGCUAAUUAGUGAUCAUUAAGAUUUCAAGGGUCAGAAGGAAUAGCUAAUCAUUAAAGAAAGUUAAUAAAUUAAAUAGUAUAACGGAUUGUCGCCUGUAAUUCGGUGACAUGAAGAAGGAAUUUCGAGUAAUCGUUGAUUAGUAGCGCAACGGUGAAGGAAGCAUUCGGGAUGAACUAACUGUCUGUCGCUGGGAAGAAGCUUAACUUGAGGGAAACUGCCGCGAGGUUAUAACUUUAAUAAAGGAAAACUUAUAUUAAUAAUAGCAAUGGUGAGAUUGAAUUAUCUCUAUAUUUAUAUUAUUUUUAAAAUUAAAUUAAAUAUUUAAUUAUACUUAAUUUAAGAGUAGUUUGUAUGCUAAUUGUUAAAAAAACAAUAGUUAGAUAUUGUAAUUAGUCUUUUAUUUAAAAACACCUUUGUUAAGCUAAUUAGUAUCAGUUAACUCAUUUAAGUAACAUCUCAAAAGUCAUAGCAAGGUAGCUGUACUGGAAAGUGCAGCUGUAAAAUAAACAAA
rnacentral:rRNA from 1 species